rnacentral:rRNA from 1 species
UACGAAGGUGGCAAGCGUUACUCGGAAUUACUAGGCGUAAAGGGCAGGUAGGUGGUUUGGUAAGUCUGUUGUGUAAGCUCCCGGCUUAACUGGGAGAGGUCAACAGAAACUACCAGGCUUGAGUAUGGGAGAGGGUACUGGAAUUCCCGGUGUAGCGGUGAAAUGCGCAGAGAUCGGGAGGAACACCAAUGGCGAAAGCAGGUACCUGGACCAUUACUGACACUAAGCUGCGAAAGCGUGGGGAGCGAACAGG